UACGGAGGGAGCUAGCGUUGUUCGGAAUUACUGGGCGUAAAGCGCACGCAGGCGGCUAUUCAAGUCGGGGGUGAAAGCCCGGGGCUCAACCCCGGAACUGCCCUCGAAACUAGGUAGCUAGAAUCUUGGAGAGGCGAGUGGAAUUCCGAGUGUAGAGGUGAAAUUCGUAGAUAUUCGGAAGAACACCAGUGGCGAAGGCGACUCGCUGGACAAGUAUUGACGCUGAGGUGCGAAAGCGUGGGGAGCAAACAGG
rnacentral:rRNA from 1 species